UCUUCAACGAGGAAUCCCUAGUAAGCACAAGUCAUCAGCUUGUGCUGAUUACGUCCCUGCCCUUUGUACACACCGCCCGUCGCUACUACCGAUUGAAUGGCUUAGUGAGGCCUUCGGAUCGUUGGUAAAAAACUGUAACAGGUUUUCUGCCGACGAGAAGUUGGUCAAACUUGGUCAUUUAGAGGAAGUAAAAGUCGUAACAAGGUUUUCGUAGGUGAACCUGCGGAAGGAUCAUUACAAAUCGUUGGCGAACCUCGCCACUUCUUCUUCGUAUUUAAAACAUCCGCUCUUUAUAAAAAAAAAAAUUAUUUUAAUGAUAAAAUUAAAAAAAAAGAUCACUUUCAACAACGGAUCUCUUGGCUCUCGCAUCGAUGAAGAACGUAGCGAAGUGCGAUAAGUAAUGUGAAUUGCAGAAUUCCGUGAAUCAUCGAAUUUUUGAACGCAAAUUGCACUCUCCGGUUUUCCGGGAGAGUAUGCCUGUUUGAGGGUCAGCCUAAAUAAAAUCGGCUUCGUUGCUGUGUCUUUCGCGGUAACGUUUUGUCGAAAUUGGGUUAUCUUAAACUUUUCGGUUUAAGUGGCUUAAAAAUUUUUUUACGAUUUUACGAACGUUUCUAAGAAUUUACUUCUUUUACGUUCAAGGUAUCGAAUAACCUUAUUAGACGUGACCGUCACAUCGGAUCUCGUCCAUAAUUUUUUCUUUUACUGACCUCAGACAGGUAAGAGUACCCGCUGAACUUAAGCAUAUCAAUAAGCGGAGGAAAAGAAAAUAACAAUGAUUCCCUUAGUAACGGCGAGUGAAAGGGGAAAAGCUCAAAUUUUAAAUCGGUCAGGUUCUACCUGCUCGAGUUGUAAUUUGAAGAAGCGUUUUUCACGUUCAAGUUGGCCCAAUCCUUUGGGAUAGUAAUCAUGGAGGGUGAGAAUUCCGUUCGCUGAACUUAAGGAUGUUUUACGAUACGCUUUCAAGAGUCAGUGUUUGGACUGCAGCUCAAAUGGGAAGGUUAAUUUCUCCUAGGCUUAAUACGCCAGAGACCGAUAGCACAGUACGGUGAAGGCAAGAUGAGGACCUUGAAAAGA
rnacentral:rRNA from 1 species